GCUACGGGUGGCAGCAGUGAGGAAUAUUGGUCAAUGGGCGCGAGCCUGAACCAGCCAAGUAGCGUGAAGGAUGACUGCCCUACGGGUUGUAAACUUCUUUUAUAAAGGAAUAAAGUGAGGCACGUGUGCCUUUUUGUAUGUACUUUAUGAAUAAGGAUCGGCUAACUCCGUGCCAGCAGCCGCGGUAAUACGGAGGAUCCGAGCUUUAUCUGGAUUUAUUGGGUUGAACGGUAGCGGAGGUGGGUUGUUAAGUCAGUUGUGAAAGUUUUGGGCUCAACCGUAAAAUUGCAAUUGAGCCUGGCAGCCUUGAGUACAGUUGAGGUAGGCGGAAUUCGUGGUGUAGCCGUGAAAUGCUUAGAUAUCACGAAGAACUCCGAUUGCGAAGGCAGCCUACUAAACUGCCACUGACAUUGAUGCUCGAAAGUGUGGGUAUCAAACAGGAUUAGAUACCCCGGUAGUC
rnacentral:rRNA from 1 species